rnacentral:lncRNA from 1 species
GGUGCCGGAUCUGGUACUGAUGGAUCUGGUGCUAUGCGAGGCCCGGAUGUACGGACCCUCUACUUCACACGCACGCCAAGAAAUGCAGGAAGGUAGGAUGAUGUCUGUAUAGUGCAAAAAUCCUUUUGCAAAUAAACCCCUGGAAGAAAAGAAUUUCAAAAAUUCCUUCUUCCCUUUUUCUUUUUCUUUCUUUUCCUCUUUCUUCCCGUUUCCUUUUUCUCUCUUUUACAGGCUACUCAAA